rnacentral:siRNA from 1 species
UCCUUCCCUUGUCAGAUUUCCGCA